GACGAACGCUGGCGGCGUGCUUAACACAUGCAAGUCGAGCGGUAAGGCCCUUUCGGGGGUACACGAGCGGCGAACGGGUGAGUAACACGUGGGUGACCUGCCCUCAGCUCUGGGACAAGCCUGGGAAACUGGGUCUAAUACUGGAUAUGACUCCACGGUGCAUGUCGUGGGGUGGAAAGCCUUGUGCGGCUGAGGAUGGGCCCGCGGCCUAUCAGCUUGUUGGUGGGGUGANGGCCUACCAAGGCGACGACGGGUAGCCGGCCUGAGAGGGCGACCGGCCACACUGGGACUGAGACACGGCCCAGACUCCUACGGGAGGCAGCAGUGGGGAAUCUUGCGCAAUGGGCGAAAGCCUGACGCAGCGACGCCGCGUGAGGGAUGACGGCCU
rnacentral:rRNA from 1 species